rnacentral:rRNA from 1 species
AUUGAACGCUGGCGGCAGGCCUAACACAUGCAAGUCGAGCGGAGCGGCGGACGGGUGAGUAAUGCCUAGGAAUGUGCCUGGUCGUGGGGGAUAACGUCCGGAAACGGGCGCUAAUACCACAUACUAUCAGAUGAGCCUCGGUAGGAUUAGCUAGUUGGUGGGGUAAAGGCCUACCAAGGCGACGAUCCGUAACUGGUCUGAGAGAAGGAUCAGUCACACUGGAACUGCGACACGGUCCAGACGCCUACGGGAGGCAGCAGUGGGGAAUAGGGGAAAAUGGGCGAAAGCGUGAUACAGCGAUGACGCGUGGGUGAAGAAGGUAUUAGGAUUGUAAAGCACUUUAAGUUGGGAGGCGGUACCAACAGAAGAAGCACCGGCUAACUUCGUGCCAGCAGCCGCGGUAAUAC